GAGCGCGUACUGGACCCGGUUGGCGCUUUCCUCCUGGUUGCCGCGCGUGUCGUUCACUCGGCGCGUGCGGCGGACCAGGACUCUACCUUGAAAAAUCAGAGUGUUCAAAGCAGCUUAUCGCCCGAAUACAUUAGCAUGGAAUAAUCGAAUAGGACGCGCGGUCCUGUUUGUGUUGGCUUCAAGACCGCCGUAAUGAUGAAUAGGGGCAGUUGGGGGCUUCGUAUUCGAACGUCAGAGGUGAAAUUCUUGGAUUGUUCGAAGACGAACUACUGCGAAAGCAUUAGCCAAGGAUGCUUUCAUUGAUCAAGAACGAAGGUUUGGGGAUCGAAAACGAUUAGAUACCGUUGUAGUCCAAACAGUAAACGAUGCCGACUGGGGAUCGGACGAGGCUUAUUUUUAUGACUCGUUCGGCACCCGAAGAGAAAUCUUUGAGUUUAGGUUCGGGGGGGAGUAUGGUCGCAAGGCUGAAACUUAAAGGAAUUGACGGAAGGGCACCACAAGGUGUGGAGCCUGCGGCUUAAUUUGACUCAACACGGGGAAACUCACCAGGUCCAGAGAUGCUUAGGAUUGACAGAUUGAGAGCUCUUUCAUGAUCGUAUCGUUGGUGGUGCAUGGCCGUUCUUAGUUGGUGGAGUGAUUUGUCUGGUUAAUUCCGAUAACGAACGAGACCCCGAGCUGCUAAAUAGCCCGGCCGGCUUUGGCUGGCCGCUGGCUUCUUAGAGCGACGUCCGG
rnacentral:rRNA from 1 species